rnacentral:misc_RNA from 1 species
AGCAGCCGCGGUAAUUCCAGCUCCAAUAGCGUAUAUUAAAGUUGUUGCAGUUAAAAAGCUCGUAGUUGAAUUUCGGGAUCAGUAUGUUGGUCGUGCUUCGGUACGUACUGUCAUUACUGGUUUCUACCUUCUGAAGAACCUUGAUGUCAUUAAUUUGGUGUCUUGGGGAAUCAGGACUGUUACUUUGAAAAAUUAGAGUGUUUAAAGCAAGCAUACGCUUGAAUACAUUAGCAUGGAAUAAUGAAAUAGGACGUUUGAUUUCUAUUUUGUUGGUUUCUAGGAUCGACGUAAUGAUUAAUAGGGAUAGUUGGGGGCAUUAGUAUUCAAUUGUCAGAGGUGAAAUUCUUGGAUUUAUUGAAGACUAACUACUGCGAAAGCAUUUGCCAAGGAUGUUUUCACUAAUCAAGAACGAAAGUUAGGGAUCGAAGACGAUCAGAUACCGUCGUAGUCUUAACCAUAAACUAUGACCGACUAGGGAUCGGAUGAUGUUUAAUUUUUAAUGUACUCUAUUCGGCGUCCU